rfam:Oryza glumipatula chromosome 3, whole genome shotgun sequence.
AAUAAGCGCAGUUGUGGGUUUCAAUGCCCAACUUUGACCAUCCGUUUUUUUGAAAUAUUUUUAUCAUUAGUAUUUUUAUUGUUAUUAUAUGAUAAAAUAUGAAUAUUACUUUAUGUGUGACUUAACUUAUAAAUUUUUUCAUAAAAUUUUUAAAUAAGACGGACGAUUAAACGUUGGACGGAAACUUAUAGUUGCAUUUAUA